rnacentral:lncRNA from 1 species
AGAAAAUAAAAGGCUGUUCUUAGAUGUCUUGUAGAGUGAACAACUGAAACAUGAGUGUGGGAUGAUCCAGGAAAACUGGCAUUUUAUCCCUGGCUGCACGCCAUAUGGAAGAGACAGUGCCUUGGAAGGGAAGGAGCAGAAAAGUUGGCCAUUGGCUCUGAUGAAUCCCAAUCCUGCUUCUACUGAAGUUGUUGGGAAUCUUCCCAUUGUCUUCAGUGGAGCAAGAAAGGAUCUUAGGUGAAAAAGUAGAACAAACAAGAAAGAGCAGCUGACAGGAGAGAGAGAAAGCAGACAUUGUUCAUUCUGCAACCUGUAUAAAGAAAGGUAGCAGCUCACAGCUGAAACUGCUUCACACUGAGUUUAGGGAGAAUGCUUAAUGUCCCUUAUUCCUAAAAAUAGUGUAUAUAUUCUCCUGUAAAACGUGGGGAUGUGUUAUGAUACAUGUACGUGUAUAUACCUACAGAUGUCUAAGUGUAAACUAUGUGAAGUAGUAGUUGCAAAGCUAUUAACUUACUUAUAGUUUGGGUAGUUUAAAAUCAAGUCCUAGGAAAUAAUGUCAUGUUUAAUCUCUAAAAGUGUAAUAAGAAGAGCAAACCCAUUCCCAAGCAGCAGAAAGAGCAAUUGAGUCUGCCUCUGACAGCUGCCACCUGGCAUCCUAUUAAACUUAACUCUGUGAAACUGCCAGGCAUAAAUCUUCCCUCAUCCUGGAGAAAGCUAGAGAUGAAAGAAAAAAUUAUGCUUAGAAGUCAGUUGUGGGAAAGACUUUGAUCUUUACCAUUAAUGUGAAGGUUUUUGCAUUUCUCCCAGAUUCCUCAUUGUCCUUCUGUGGACUAGAAACUCAAAUUGUUUGCUGGAACUUGGCUGGGUAUAAUGAGAAGUGCAAAUUUAUCUUGCUCCAUAGUAGGAGAGAGAGCUAAGAAGGUCUGAGAUUUGUUUCCACAGAGAUUACUGCAGUUCUUGGAUCAGUUUGUACAGAAGGAGGUGCUUUAUGUGCUGGGUGACAUGGAAGCAUUAGUAUCAUGAAAUGAGCAAAAAUAAAUUAAUUGUGCAGGUUGGCA